rnacentral:rRNA from 1 species
UACAGAGGUCUCAAGCGUUGUUCGGAUUCAUUGGGCGUAAAGGGUGCGUAGGUGGCGCUGUAAGUCGGGUGUGAAAUUUCGGAGCUUAACUCCGAAACUGCAUUCGAUAACUGCGGUGCUUGAGGACUGGAGAGGAGACUGGAAUUCGAUGGUGUAGCAGUGAAAAUGCGUAGAUAUCGAUAAGGAAGACCAGUGGCGAAGGCGGGUCUCUGGACAGUUCCUGACACUGAGACACGAAGGCCAGGGG